CUCGGAUACCGUAGUAACACUAGAGCUAAUACGUGCGUAAAUCCCGACUUUUGGAAGGGACGUAUUUAUUAGAUUUAUGGCCAGCCGGGCUUGCCCGACCAGCGGUGAAUCAUGGUAACUUGACGGAUUGCAUGGCCUUCGUGCCGGCGACGUGUCAUUCAAGUUUCUGCCCCAUCAGGUUUCGACUGUAGUGUAUUGGACUACAGUGCCUAUAACGGGUAGCGGAGGAUUAGGGUUCGAUUCCGGAGAGGGAGCCUGAGAAACGGCUACCACAUCCAAGGAAGGCAGCAGGCGCGCAAAUUACCCAAUCCCAACUCAGGGAGGUAGUGACAAGAAAUAGCAAUGCGGGGCUUCAUGCUCUGCAAUUGGAAUGAGUACAAUUUAAAUCACUUAACGAGUAUCAAUUGGAGGGCAAGUCUGGUGCCAGCAGCCGCGGUAAUUCCAGCUCCAAUAGCGUAUAUGUAAGUUGUUGCGAUUAAAAAGCCCGUAGCUGAACCUCGGGCAACCCUGACGGUCCGCGAUUCGUGAGUACUGUCGUGGGUUGUCUUUCUGGCAAGACCGUAUCUCUGCGUUAACUCGCCGGGAACGGCGCUUGCCAAGGUUACUUUGAGUAAAAUAGAGUGUUCAAAGCAAGCUCGCGCUCUGAAUACACUAGCAUGGGAUAACACGACAUGACCGAUGGUCUAUCUUGUUGGCCUGUAGACCUGUUGGUAAUGGCUAAUAGGGACGGUCGGGGGCAUUCGUAUUUCGCUGUCAGAGGUGAAAUUCUUGGAUUUGCGAAAGACGAACUACUGCGAAAGCAUUUGCCAAGGACGCUUUCAUUAGUCAAGGACGAAA
rnacentral:rRNA from 1 species